rnacentral:rRNA from 1 species
GAUGAACGCUGGCGGCGUGCCUAAUACAUGCAAGUCGAGCGAACGGACGAGAAGCUUGCUUCUCUGAUGUUAGCGGCGGACGGGUGAGUAACACGUGGAUAACCUACCUAUAAGACUGGGAUAACUUCGGGAAACCGGAGCUAAUACCGGAUGAUAUUUUGAACCGCAUGGUUCAAAAGUGAAAGACGGUCUUGCUGUCACUUAUAGAUGGAUCCGCGCUGCAUUAGCUAGUUGGUAAGGUAACGGCUUACCAAGGCAACGAUGCAUAGCCGACCUGAGAGGGUGAUCGGCCACACUGGAACUGAGACACGGUCCAGACUCCUACGGGAGGCAGCAGUAGGGAAUCUUCCGCAACGGGCGAAAGCCUGACGGAGCAACGCCGCGUGAGUGAUGAAGGUCUUCGGAUCGUAAAACUCUGUUAUUAGGGAAGAACAUAUGUGUAAGUAACUGUGCACAUCUUGACGGUACCUAAUCAGAAAGCCACGGCUAACUACGU